rnacentral:rRNA from 1 species
UACGGAGGAUGCAAGCGUUAUCCGGAAUGAUUGGGCGUAAAGCGUCCGCAGGUGGCUGUGUAAGUCUGCUGUUAAAGAGUGAGGCUCAACCUCAUAAAGGCAGUGGAAACUACAUGGCUAGAGUGCGUUCGGGGCAGAGGGAAUUCCUGGUGUAGCGGUGAAAUGCGUAGAGAUCAGGAAGAACACCGGUGGCGAAAGCGAUCUGCUAGGCCGCAACUGACACUGAGGGACGAAAGCUAGGGGAGCGAAUGGG